rnacentral:lncRNA from 1 species
UACCCGCAACGUGCCAUGCAACCGCAGUAAGGCCACACACCUGUUAUCACUCGCCCGUCGAUCUCGAGGACCUCAUAAAUGUCAUCAUGAAUUUAUCUGAGUGGGUCCAAGAAAAGGAAGCUUAUGGAGGUAAAAAAAAUUAAAGAUGCCGUAGAUUUAGCAACAAUACCAAAGUUAACAUCAUUCUUUCAAAGAUUUAGUUUAACAGCUGUAUCAUCCACUGAACAAGUUGAAACCUGUAAUAGUGAAGAUGUAAGUAUUAAAUUAUCAAAUGCAUGUUCCACCAAAUGUUUUGCACUUAAUGUUGGACAAAUAAUAUCAAUUGCAUUAUAUUAUUGAAUGAUAGUCAUACAAAAAUUAAAUAGGCG